CACGUAAGUUGCGAGCGUUGUUCGGAAUUAUUGGGCGUAAAGGGCAUCUAGGCGGUCAUUCAAGCUUGGUGUGAAAUACCGGGGCUUAACUCCGGGGCUGCAUUGAGAACUGGAUGACUGGAGUCACUGAAGGGCAACCAGAAUUCCAGGUGUAGGGGUGAAAUCUGUAGAUAUCUGGAAGAAUACCAAUGGCGAAGGCAGGUUACCGGCAGAUGACUGACGCUGAAGUGCGAAGGUGCGGGGAGCAAACAGG
rnacentral:rRNA from 1 species